ensembl:lncRNA
AAGGGUGGCCCGCCCUGGUCUCCCCGCGCCCCGCCGCCCGCCCCGGAGGGGUUUCCGGUGAUGCCCUCUGGUCGCGCCGGUGGCUCCAGCUGGAUUUGGGCAAGUUGGGGCCGGGCCGGAGCGGCGGCCGCCGGGGGUUGUUGGGCCCGGGUUCGUUGGGAGGCGCCUCGGGCCGGAGGGGCCUCGCGGGCCCGGGGCCCCGACGCGCCGACGCGCCGACGCGCCGACGCGCCCGACGCCCCGGGCCACCUGGCCCCGAGCAGAGCAGCCGGAUGUCCUGCGACCCGUCGCCGGGAUGCGGGCGGACAGGAGGCCUGGAGCGUCCGGGGCCGGCUUGGGAGAGCGCCUAGACUUGCGCCCCGCCCGCCCACAGUCCCCGGGGUGCCCGAGGCCUCCCGCGCCCUGGGCGGGCGGCAGGGCAGGGCAGGGCAGGGCAGGGCAGGGCAGGGCAGGGUUUGGCUGGCCGCGGCGGCGGCGGCGGCGGCGGUGGCGGGAGGCAGUGGCAGGCAGGCGGCAGGCGGCGGAGCGCGGGGCGCAGGGGACGCGGGCGUCCGGUGCGCGUCACAGGGGCUCGGGCGCGCGCGUCACAGGGGCCAGGCGACGGCGCGUCACAGGGACCAGGCGACAGCGCGCGCGCGCGCGCGCGCGCGAGGCUUCUUAGGGGCGCCGGCGGCAGCCACCAGCGUCUACGGCCAUACCACCCUGAACGCGCCCGAUCUCGUCUGAUCUCGGAAGCUAAGCAGGGUCGGGCCUGAAGCAGCACAGAGGAAAAGAUUCAGAAACUAAGGAUAAAGAUGCAGGAAGAUCGCGAUGGAGAGGAAUGAAAUUGAGGAGCUCUAAUGGAUGGUAUUUCUCUUCUUAGGAAGUCAUGACACCCUGCAAAAUAGCUCAAAGAGAGUUGACUGAAGAAAUGGAAACGUCAGUGAUGAAGGAUGCAAGAAACAGGACAGCAGUCCAGUAAUUCACCCUGGAGGGGUUUGCAGCUGUCCAGCAUCAUAGGAAGGUUUUCUUCCUGGUGCAUCUUCUGGAGUACCUGGCCUCCAUCAUGGGAAACAUACUCAUAAUCACCAUCACCUGGGCUGACCAUCACCUCCAGACACCUAUGUACUUCUUCCUCAGCAGUUUCUCCUUUGUUGAAUGCUGCUUAUAACCACUGUUAUUCCUAAGUUGCUGGCUAUCUUUCUGUCAUGGAGGAAAUCAAUUAAAAACAUGGAGAAAUCUAUACCAGGGCACAUACUAAUCAAAUUGCUCAAAACCAGUGAUAAAGAGAAAUCUUCAAAGCAGCCAGAAGAAAAAAAGACACAUUUCAUACAGAGGAACAAAGAUAAAUAUACCAAAGAUUUCUCUUUGAAAAUAACUAAGUGAGAACUCAAUGACACAAUUUUUAAAGGACUGUGAAUAAAAAUUUGCCAACCCAGAAUUCUGUAGUCAUGAAACUAUCUUUCAAAAAUGAAGGCAUACAAAAGAUAAAAGAAUUAAUCACCAGCAAAUCUACAGAAUGAUAGUUGGUAAAGGCAGUCCUCCAAGAGAAAGAAAAUUAUACCAGAUAUAAAUAUGGAUCUAUGCAAAGAAUGAAGAGCACCAGAAAUAGUAACCAUGGGGUAGGUAUAUAGGGUAUUUUUAAAUAAUUUAAAUUUCUUUGAAAGAUCAUUGACUCUGUCAACAAAAAUAGUAACAAUGCACUGUGGGGUUUAUAACAUAUGUAUAAGGAAAAUGUAUGAAAAGAAUAGCAUAAAGUCUGAGGGAGUAGAAAUGGAAGUAUGUUAUUACAAGUUGCUUAUAUGAUAUGUGAAGUGGUAAAAUAUCACUUGAAGGUAGACAAUGAUAAUUUAAAGAUGUAUACUAUAAAUCCAAGGCAACCACUGAAAUAAAAAUCAGAGUUGUAGCUAAGGAGCCAACAAAGGAGAUAAAAUGGAAUCAUCACAAUGGGGCAGCAGGAAACUUUUGGGCUGGUGAAUAUUUUCAUUAUAAUCAUUGUGGUGGUGAUUUUACAAAUGUUUAAAUGUGUCAAAACUUAUCAAAUUGUACUCUUGAAAUAUGUCCAUUUUAUUUUGUAUCAAUGAUACCUCAAUAAAGCUGUUUCAAAGACAAUAAAGCAGAUUGCAAUGGAAUAUUAAAAAUGCUUCAUUAAUUCAAAAAAAGAAAGGAGAAAAUAAGGAAUAUAUAAUGGUGGGGACAAAUAGAAGGAAACAUCAAAAUUGUAGAGUUAAAUCUAACUUUACAAUAAUGAGAUUAAA